rnacentral:rRNA from 1 species
UGUAGUGUCAACGAUGAUGCAUACAUGUCAAUUAUGGGUGUUGGCUUCAACAAUUCGCAUUGGUCUCAAACCAAUGACAUGCAUUUCGAAGACCAUGAGUUCGAGGUGGACGAGGAUGGUGAGGGCAUUGUCGACGCGCCAAAAGGAAGAGCGGGCAAUUACACCAACGCCGGAGACAUCUUACUAUGCAAUACUUGGUUGCAAGUGUCGAGGGAUCCAUCCGUUGGAGGUGAUCAAAGUAGAGAUGCUUAUUUGGGGGACGAAGACGAGGACGAGGAAGAAUCGUCUUCCGAAGAUGAGGACGAGGACGGGGAAGAAUUGUCUUUCGAAGAUGAGGACGAAGACGAGGACGAGGCUUGA